rnacentral:sRNA from 1 species
GUAAAUUUGAUAUCGUCGCCAUAGCUUCGUAGGUCGACAAAGAAUUAACAGCCUCGCCAUCGUGCGGGGCUUU